ACCCACCUGAUUCCAUGCCGAACUCAGAAGUGAAACGAAACAGCGUCGAUGGUAGUGUGGGGUCUCCCCAUGUGAGAGUAGAACAUCGCCAGGC
rnacentral:rRNA from 2 species